rnacentral:ncRNA from 1 species
UUGGAUUUCGCUGAGAGCCUGGGGAGAAUAGGAAAGUUGAGUGCAAUGCUCACACGGUCACGCCGCUGUGAAGGAGGAGCUGUAUUUUUCCAUGGCAGACAAGGUCUGCAGACCACUGGAGUAAUCUGGGAAGGUCGAAAGUACAGCGUGGAUUCCCAAGUCAGAAGACCUGCCUUACAC